rnacentral:pre_miRNA from 17 species
ACGAAUAAGGGAUUUUAGUCUUUCAAGACAAAAGUUCUGUAACACUUCGACUCUGAGUAAAUAGAAGUCAGUGCACUACAGAACUUUGUUUCGGAAGUCUGCUUCACUUUGAAUCAAAG